rnacentral:lncRNA from 1 species
ACUGUACUGAUGAGUCCCAAAAAGGACGAAAUAAUAAGUUACAGU